GUUUCAAUUCCUCAUAGGCAGGCUAUCGGCCUGGAAGACCGGCGUCAGGUCCUGAAUCGUGAGAUGG
rnacentral:sRNA from 1 species